rnacentral:rRNA from 1 species
GACGAGGGGUCCAAGCGUUGUUCGGAAUCAUUGGGCGUAAAGCGGGUGUAGGUGGCUUUGUAAGUCAGGAGUGAAAUCCCCGAGCUUAACUUGGGAAGUGCUUUUGAAACUGCAGAGCUUGAAUGUGGGAGAGGAUCGUGGAAUUCCAGGUGUAGUGGUGAAAUACGUAGAUAUCUGGAGGAACACCGGUGGCGAAGGCGGCGAUCUUGCCCAACAUUGACACUGAGACCCGAAAGCGUGGGGAUCAAACAGG